GGCAAGCACGACGCGGGAGGGGACACGAGCGCGCGGGGAGAGCGCGGCCACCCGAAGGUGAGGGACGGGGGAGGCGCGGCGGGAGGGCGCCCGCGGCGGUCUGCGCGGCUGGGCGACGGGCAGAGCGGACCCUCCCGCGGGCACCCGCCCCCGGGCCCGAGGGGCUCCCGGCCUAGAAGUCCUCGUCCUCCACCCAUCCAAAGACCCGCUUCAUCUCGGCCAGGAAGCCCCGGUAAUCGUUGAGGAGGGGGCUCUGCUUCCUGAUGUAGGGGAUCACCCACUGCAGGGCCGGCCCGGUGAGGCGGGUGAUGAGGAACGUCACCUUCAGGCUGUCGUUGGAGAACAGGGUCUCGUCCACGAGCAUGUAGGCGCCCGUCUGCACGAUAAACUCCGGGAGCCGGUCGGUGUCGCCGUCAAACGUCUCGGGGAAGGGGAUCGGGUUCCUCCACCGACGCGUCUGGGGCCGGAUGGUGUAUCCUUUGCAAACCCUCGGACCUGGACACCGUUUGGUGCGCUUCUGUGGGCACAUUCCCCUACUGAUUCAUGCAUCUGUCAACUGAAGUAUCACGCCGCUGGUUGUAGGUAUGGUUGUCUUGCACCAUCAUGGGAAACCCCAGCUAUUAGUGGGCAUAAUUCAGAGAAGCAUAUUCAUAGAGUAAUGCACCAUGACAAGUGAACUUAAAGAGGGUUAAAUGAUAAGAAAUCUCUUAAUUUGGUAUAUUAUGGUACCGAAGUAGACUAUUAGUAUAGAAACUGAAAGACAAAAGUGAGAGGUGUUGGAUGUUUUCUAAGUAUGACAUUAUACAUCUCCAUACUUGAGAAUAAUGGAAAGAAAUAACUAAGACAUUAACCAAUUGAAGAAGGGAAAACGAAGUAUUACAGGUUAUAUUUGAAUUCAUUUGUAUGGCUGAGUACAAAAUUGAUAUAAAUUCUUCACAGGCUUUCAUAUAUGCAGAGAAUAAUCGGUUAAAAUAGAUAAUGCUAUUAAUGACUUAAUUCAGAAAAGCAGUUAAAAAGAAGUAGUUCCUAGGAAUAUACUUGAAAAAUCGUAAAAUCCACUUAACAUUUUGAAAUGCCAAAUAGGGGAUAUAAAAGAAUACUCAAGAGAACACAAAUGCAUACCCAGGUCUGAAAUAGGGUGGCCCAGCAUCUUAAAGAUGUUGAUUUUCCCUGUGUGAGGAGAGAAGAGGAGGUGGGACUUAGGUGCUGCCUCAGAGGUUGUACAUGCUGCCUCAGUAGCUGGAGAAGCUGAAGGGUAGACCCAGCUGGAGGUGGUGGUGGGGGGGAGCUACAGAGCCAGCUGCUGCCCCAGCCCAACAAGGUGACAGCCAAUUUGCCUCUACCUGCCUGAGUUGUUAUAGUGCUUGGUGACACUGUGACCUUCAAGGGCAAACUAUCUUUUAUGGACCUAGCUAAUCCAGAAUUAUUCACAAGUAAAAAAAAUUCCAAGUAUAUGAAACACUAAUUUUAUGACACUAGAUAUCAUGCAGUCAGGGUGAAGUUCCCUAAGGGUGAAAAAAACACUUAAAGCGAACCCUAGUGCUGCCUCAGCUUACUGUCAGGAGCAAACCUCCAGCCUGCCUGCUGGUCUAUUUGUUGGCAUUUGCUGGUAUCACGUGGAAAGCAGAUGUGAGAAAUCCUCCAAGACUCCCAAAGCUGUCUCUUGGUUCUUGCCCUGUAGGUCCUACCUUUCUAUUGAGGGUGUUUAACGCCUCCCUCCUGUUAUAUUUCUUUCCCCAGAUCCAGGUCCCCUCCAUCCAGACUUGACACCUCUGAUUGCCACUUAGUCCCUCUGGGGAAGUUAGCAUGGGAGGGUGACAGAGCCCUCCCAGGUCUGUGGAUAGUGACAGCUCAGGGGGAAGCUGAGGGAAGAUACCAUUGGGCAGCCAAUGGAUCCAAGCAUCCAAGCCACAUCUGAGUUGUGACAAAGAUUCAUUCCUAGCUUCACAGCACAUGCUUGGGAAGGCCAUCUGUUGCCACCUGUGGCUGGAGUAGGUGGAAAUGGAACCUGGUUGGCAAUAAUACCCCAACUGUCACUGACCAUCUGCUCAUGUAACGCCUCAGUCCCUUACAAACUGCUCACCACCCAGAAGAGAAUUUCUUAGAAUCUCUGGAGAGAGACACACACUACGGGGACAGUAUACUGGUUGGGGUGAGGGUGAGCAUAGCUGAGUGGGAGUAGCUCACACCCUAAUGCGUGACUUAUUCUUUAAUACAGAGACCUUUAAUAAUAGGGAUAUAAAUAAAGCUCCAGCUGCAAUGGGAGAGUAGGGGAGC
rnacentral:lncRNA from 1 species